rnacentral:rRNA from 1 species
AUGGCGACCGAGCAGCUCCUCCAGUGUCGACCUGGUUGCUUGGUGCUUCUUCUCCUUCUCCUGGCCUCCGUGAUGAUGUGCCCUCUUGUUUGGUCCUCACCGCCGACCACCGUGGGACGGCCGCCAGAGCUAACCCUCCUCGCCGGCGCGGCAGAGAAGGGCGCAGUGUGCUUGGAUGGAAGCCCGCCGGCUUACCAAUUGGAGAGAGGCUUCGGCUCCGGAUCUCACAGCUGGCUCGUCUAUCUAGAGGGAGGAGGGUGGUGCAGCACCGUUGAGGCUUGUUCGAAGCACACAAAAUCUGCGCUUGGUUCAUCUAACUUUAUGGAAGCGGUGCAGCUUGCUGGGAUUUUCAGCAACGACCAGAGCCAAAAUUCUGAUUUCUACAACUGGAAUAAAGUUUUCGUGCGGUAUUGUGAUGGGGCGUCAUUUUCUGGGGAUGCUGAGUACGAAGAUCAGGAUGGAAACAGGCUAUUCUUCAGAGGGUUGCGCAUUUGGGAAGCGAUCAUUGACGAACUGAUGGAGAAAGGACUUGCUAAUGCUAAACAGGCCCUCCUUGCAGGUUGUUCUUCUGGUGGUUUAGCCACACUACUGCACUGUGAUGAUUUUAGUGCACGUUUUCCUCGGAAGGUUGCAGUUAAAUGCUUUUCUGAUGCUGGAUUUUUUCUUGACAAAAAGAAUAUAGACGGAGAAAGGUUUUUCCGGUCCGUGUACAAUGGGGUUGUUCACCUCCAGAAUGUUAGCAAAGUUUUGCCCAAGGACUGCCUCGCUAAGAUGGAACCACUGGAUUGUUUCUUUCCUUCUGAGCUUAUUAAGAGCAUCAACACCCCCACUUUUAUUCUCAACUCUGGAUAUGACUCUUGGCAGAUACAAAAUGUACUAGUACCAGAUGAAUCCUCUCCCGAAAAUUCAUGGUUGACCUGCAAGGCUAACAUCCGAGACUGUGAUUCCACACAAAUUGAAGUCCUUCAUGGAUUCAGGAAAACAAUGGUGGGUGAUCUGAAAGUCGUCCAAGAUAAGGAGGAGUGGGGAUUGUUCAUUGAUUCGUGCUUUACCCACUGCCAAACACCAUUUAAAAUCUCAUGGGAUUCACCAAUUUCCCCAAGGCUUGGAAAUAAGACGAUCUCACAAGCUGUUGGAGAUUGGCACUUCAGCAGAGGCCAAAGGGUAAAAGAGAUCGAUUGCGAGUAUCCAUGCAACCCAACAUGCAGCAGCCAGUUGCCUUCCUAA